rnacentral:tRNA from 1 species
GCAUGUAUAGCUCAACUGGAUAGAGCACUUGACUUCGGAUCAAGGGGUUGUGGGUUCAAGUCCUACUACGUGUG